GCCGUUUUUUUUUUUCAAUAAUUUACAGUUACAUGAUGUUGCGCCUCUGACUAACCGAGGAUAGUUUCGCAAAAAUAUUACAAUGGAAAUAGGAAGUUAUGACCUUACAAACAAUUUGUCAAUAGUUGGCUCGUUAGACAUUGAAACCAAGCUCAAAGAAGCGGUCAGAAUUACCAGAAAUUUUAUUUUCCCACUUGUUUGUUCUAUUGCUGUUAUCAGUUGUUUAGUUAUAGAGUUCACAAUUUUCAAAACUGGAGUUAAAAGAGCUUCCAGACUCUACAUUAUUCUCUUAGCAUCGACAGAUAUUAUUCAGUCACUUGGUCUCAUUGGCUUACAGUAUGCAGAUUUGUCCUCUCUACAUUGCAAACUCUCUCGAUGGCUGGGCAUAUCCUUGAUAGUUGCUUCUUACAACCAACAACUUCUCCUGACUGUAGAUCGCGUCUUAGCAAUGAGACACUUUAUUUGGUACAGGCAACGUCUCAUGUUCAAUUUCUUUUAUCCAGUUAUGGGAACUAUUGUCAAUUUUACUGUGACAAUUCUGUCUUAUUUUCCAAUAUUUUUGUUUUUCGAAAUCGACCAAUCUUACAAUAUUUGUAUCAUUGAAGACAAAAUUACACAGAAAUUCAAGCUAUUAUUUCUGGGCUAUGGUGUUAUUUUCACCGUAACACCAUUGAUAAUGAACGUUUUACUCAAUGCAUUUGUUAUGAGAAAGCUGAGAAUAAUGAAAACAGUACUACGCGGUAUGGAGCAAGUUUCAUAUGACGAAUGGCAAAUCGAGAAAUCUAUGACUACGGGAUCUGUGUUAUGCAGUAUCACUUUCUUUUUACUUUCAGUGGCCAGGAUAAUUCUAGUUCUGACCUCGAGUGCUAUCGAAGCCGACAGCUUUUCCACAGGGUUUAGUUUUGAAGGAAACAUCUUACUAACACUUCUUACUAGAAACAUAUCACUGAUUAUUGCAACCUUUAACAUGCCAAUUGUUUUGCUGCUUUUUACUAUUCAAAACCAGUUUUUCCGUGAGAACAUGAAAAAACACAUCUGUUCAUUGAUGCGUUUUUGCCAACCCAAUAGUUCUAAGGCUGACAAUAUGGAACCUAAAAAUCAAGAAGAGAAAGCCGAAGGUGAUGUUGCAGUGGAUU